UACGGGGGGUGCGAGCGUUGUCCGGAAUCACUGGGCGUAAAGGGCGCGUAGGUGGUUUGAUAAGGGUGUGGUGAAAGCCCGGGGCUCAACCCCGGGUCUGCCGUGCAGACUGUCAAACUCGAGGGCUGUAGAGGCAGACGGAAUUCCGGGUGUAGCGGUGGAAUGCGUAGAGAUCCGGAGGAAGACCGGUGGCGAAGGCGGUCUGCUGGGCAGUUUCUGACACUGAGGCGCGACAGCGUGGGGAGCAAACAGG
rnacentral:rRNA from 1 species